rnacentral:rRNA from 1 species
AUCCUACGGGACGCAGCAGUAGGGAAUCUUCCACAAUGGGCGCAAGCCUGAUGGAGCAACACCGCGUGAGUGAAGAAGGGUUUCGGCUCGGAAAGCUCUGGUGUUGGAGAAGAACGUGCGUGAGAGUAACUGUUCACGCAGUGACGGUAUCCAACCAGAAAGUCACGGCUAACUACGGGCCAGCAGCCGCGGGAAUACGUAGGUGGCAAGCGUUAUUCGGAUUUAUUGGGCGUAAA